AGCAGCCGCGGUAAUUCCAGCUCCAAUAGCGUAUAUUAAAGUUGUUGCAGUUAAAAAGCUCGUAGUUGAAUUUCGGGGUCAGUAGGUCGGUCAUGCCACAGGUAUGCACUGGUCUCACUGAUUCCUCCUUCCUGAUGAACCGUAAUGCCAUUAAUUUGGUGUUGCGGGGAGACUGGACUGUUACUUUGAAAAAUUGAGUGUUAAAUCAGGCUAACGCUUAGAAUACAUUAGCAUGGAAUAACGGAAUAGGACGUUCGAUCUUAUUUUGUUGGUUUCUAAGAUUGACGUAAUGAUUAAUAGGGAUAGGUUGGGGGCUAGUUAGUAUUCAAUUGUCAGAGGU
rnacentral:sRNA from 1 species